rnacentral:rRNA from 1 species
CCUAUGGGAGGCAGCAGUGGGGAAUUUUCCGCAAUGGGCGAAAGCCUGACGGAGCAAUGCCGCGUGGAGGUAGAAGGCCCACGGGUCGUAAACUCCUUUUCUCAGAGAAGAAGCAAUGACGGUAUCUGAGGAAUAAGCAUCGGCUAACUCUGUGCCAGCAGCCGCGGUAAU